rnacentral:rRNA from 1 species
AGUUGGUGCCUUCGGGAACUCUGACACAGGUGCUGCAUGGCUGUCGUCAGCUCGUGUCGUGAGAUGUUGGGUUAAGUCCCGCAACGAGCGCAACCCUUGCCUUUAGUUGCCAGCAGUUCGGCUGGGCACUCUAAAGGGACUGCCGGUGUUAAACCGGAGGAAGGUGGGGAGUGACGUCAAGUCCUCAUGGCCUUUAUGACCAGGGCUACACACGUACUACAAUGGCCGAUACAAAGGGCAGCGACACUGCGAGGUGAAGCCAAUCCCGUAAAAUCGGUCUCAGUCCGGAUUGGAGUCUGCAACUCGACUCCAUGAAGUUGGAAUCGCUAGUAAUCGUGGAUCAGCAUGCCACGGUGAAUACGUUCCCGGGCCUU